rnacentral:rRNA from 1 species
AGCGAACGCUGGCGGCAGGCCUAACACAUGCAAGUCGAACAGACCCUUCGGGGUUAGUGGCGGACGGGUGAGUAACACGUGGGAACGUGCCUUUAGGUUCGGAAUAGCUCCUGGAAACGGGUGGUAAUGCCGAAGGUGCCCUUCGGGGGAAAGAUUUGUCGCCUUUAGAGCGGCCCGCGUCUGAUUAGCUAGUGGGUGGGGUAAUGGCUCACCAAGGCGACGAUCAGUAGCUGGUCUGAGAGGAUGACCAGCCACACUGGGGCUGAGACACGGCGCAGACUCCUACGGGAGGCAGCCGUGGGGAAUCUUGCGCAAUGGGCGAAAGCCUGACGCAGCCAUGCCGCGUGAAUGAUGAAGGUCUUAGGAUUGUAAAAUUCUUUCACCGAGGACGAUAAUGACGGUACCCGGAGAAGAAGCCCCGGCUAACUUCGUGCCAGCCGCCGCCGUAA